CGAGCGCACUUUUUAAGUGAGCGGCAGACGGGUGAGUAAUGCAUGGGAAUCUACCUAUUUCUACGGAAUAACACAGAGAAAUUUGUGCUAAUGCCGUAUACGUCCGAGAGGAGAAAGAUUUAUCGGAGAUAGAUGAGCCCAUGUUGGAUUAGCUAGUUGGUGGGGUAAAGGCCUACCAAGGCGACGAUCCAUAGCUGGUCUGAGAGGAUGAUCAGCCACACUGGGACUGAGACACGGCCCAG
rnacentral:rRNA from 1 species